rnacentral:rRNA from 1 species
AAUGAACGUUGGCGGCGUGGAUUAGGCAUGCAAGUCGUACGCACAGCUUCGGCUGUGAGUGGCGCAAGGGUGAGUAAUGCGAAGGGUAACCAACCCUGGUGUUGGGCAUAACCGCGGGAAACUGCGGGUAAUUCCCAGCGACGUCGCGAGAUGGCAUCAUCUUGCGACCAAAGGUGUGAUUCCGCUCUAGGACGGGCCUUCGUGGUAUUAGGUAGUUGGUGAGGUAACGGCUCACCAAGCCGACGAUGCCUACCGGGUGUGAGAGCAUGACCCGGCACACUGGAACUGAGACACUGUCCAGACACCUACGGGUGGCUGCAGUCGAGAAUCUUCGGCAAUGGGCGAAAGCCUGACCGAGCGACGCCGCGUGAGGGAAGAAGGCCUUCGGUUGUAAACCUCUUUCGUAGAGGAGGAAGGGGCCGUGCAGAGCGGUCUUUGACCUAUUCUAGGAAGAAGCUUGGGCUAAGUUCGUGCCAGCAGCCGCGGUAAU